AUUGAACGCUGGCGGCAUGCCUUACACAUGCAAGUCGAACGGCAGCGGGGGAGAAGCUUGCUUUUCCUGCCGGCGAGUGGCGAACGGGUGAGUAAUACAUCGGAACGUGCCCUGUAGUGGGGGAUAACUAGUCGAAAGAUUAGCUAAUACCGCAUACGACCUGAGGGUGGAAGUGGGGGACCGCAAGGCCUCAUGCUAUAGGAGCGGCCGAUGUCUGAUUAGCUAGUUGGUGGGGUAAAGGCCUACCAAGGCGACGAUCAGUAGCUGGUCUGAGAGGACGAUCAGCCACACUGGGGCUGAGACACGGCCCAGACUCCUACGGGAGGCAGCAGUGGGGAAUUUUGGACAAUGGGCGAAAGCCUGAUCCAGCAAUGCCGCGUGUGUGAAGAAGGCCUUCGGGUUGUAAAGCACUUUUGUCCGGAAAGAAAUGGCUCUGGUUAAUACCUGGGGACGAUGACGGUACCGGAAGAAUAAGGACCGGCUAACUACGUGCCAGCCGCCGCGGUAA
rnacentral:rRNA from 1 species